AGGCGUUGAAAUAUGGAACGUGCCGGAAAGCGUUUCAUAUGGAGUCAGUAAGGGUCUAAGCACUUACCGCGAUUCGGCUUACCUGCAUAUUAUUAUGCAAGGGACAUAAAGUGCUUCAC
rnacentral:sRNA from 12 species